rnacentral:rRNA from 1 species
CUUGAACGCUGGCGGCAGGCCUAACACAUGCAAGUCGAACGGUAGCACAGAGAGCUUGCUCUUGGGUGACGAGUGGCGGACGGGUGAGUAAUGUCUGGGAAACUGCCUGAUGGCGGGGGAUAACUACUGGAAACGGUAGCUAAUACCGCAUAAUGUCGCAAGACCAAAGAGGGGGACCUUCGGGCCUCUUGCCAUCAGAUGUGCCCAGAUGGGCUUAGCGAGUAGGUGGGGUAAUGGCUCACCUAGGCGACGAUCCCUAGCUGGUCUGAGAGGAUGACCAGCCACACUGGAACUGAGACACGGUCCAGACUCCUACGGGAGGCAGCAGUGGGGAAUAUUGCACAAUGGGCGCAAGCCUGAUGCAGCCAUGCCGCGUGUAUGAAGAAGGCCUUCGGGUUGUAAAGUACUUUCAGCGAGGAGGAAGGCAUUAAGGUUAAUAACCUUGGUGAUUGACGUUACUCGCAGAAGAAGCACCGGCUAACUCCGUGCCAGCCGCCGCGGUAACAC